rnacentral:rRNA from 1 species
UAGUCAUAUGCUUGUUUCAAGGACUAAGCCAUGCAAAUGUAAGAUUACUUGUGUCUUGACACGAGAAGUCUGUGUACGGCUCAUUAAACGGUUUAUAGUCUCCCCAACAAAGAGGGCAGUCAUGCCUUCCCAUGGGAUAUCUUUGCGAAACGCAAAGCUAAUACCUGUAAGAUCAAUCGCUUGCCGUUCAACACGUUCGGGGCAACUCGGGCGUGUGGCGGGCGAUGUGUUUGGCCGAAACAAAAAUGGACGCUCGAACAGAGCAGCUGUGAUUGUUGACGCAGGCCAAAGCCGCGAAAGCACACUUGUUAUGUGCGACGUUGGACGAAUUUACCACCUAUCAGGUAUUGAAGGUAGUGUAGUGGACUACCUUGCCUUUGACGGGUAACGGGGGAUUGGGGUUCGAUUCCGGAGAGGGUGCCUGAGAGACGGCAACCAUGACUAUGGUCAGCAGCAGGCGCGCAAAUUGCCCAAUGCCAACAAAUGGCGAGGCAGCGACGAAAAAUAGCAGUCCCAUUUUUUGGGAUCUGCAAUGGACUGUACCCAAACAAACUGAUGAAUACUAUU